CAGUCGCCACGGUAAUACGAGGGGGGCAAGCGUUGUUCGGAAUUAUUGGGCGUAAAGGGCGCGUAGGCGGUUUGACAAGUCUGAUGUGAAAUCUCUGGGCUCAACCCAGAGUCUGCAUCGGAAACUGUCGAGCUUGAGUAUGGGAGAGGUGAGUGGAAUUUCCGGUGUAGCGGUGAAAUGCGUAGAUAUCGGAAGGAACACCUGUGGCGAAAGCGGCUCACUGGACCAUUACUGACGCUGAGGCGCGAAAGCUAGGGGAGCAAACAGGAUUAGAUACCCCAGUAGUCCCUGUCUCUUAUAC
rnacentral:rRNA from 1 species